AGUGAACUGCGAGGGAUCAUUACAGAGUUCAUGCCCUCACGGGUAGAUCUCCCACCCUUGCGUAUCUUCAUACCUUUGUUGCUUUGGCAGGCCGCCUGGGUUCGCGCCUGGCCACCGGCUCUCGGGCUGGUGCGUGCCUGCCAGAGGAUCUCCAAACUCUAGUUAUCAGUGUUAGUCUGAGUCAUUAUACAAUUGUUAAAACUUUCAACAGAGCGGAUCUCUUGGUUCUGGCAGUCGAUGAAGAACGCAGCGAAAUGCGAUAAGUAAUGUGAAUUGCAGAAUUCAGUGAAUCAGUCGAAUCUUUGAACGCACAGUUGCGCCCCUUGGUAUUGCCGAGGGGCACUGCCUGUUCGAGCGUCAUUUCAACCCUCAAGCUCUGCGUUGGUAGUUGGGUCCCUGCCGACUGGGCAGGCCUUAAAAUCAGUGGCGGUGCCGUCGCGGCUCCAAGCGUAGUACAUCUCUCGCUCGCGGAGGCCCGGUGGUGUCUUGCCAGACAACCCCCAAC
rnacentral:rRNA from 1 species